UUGUGGCCUGAUUUGAAGACAAGGUUCGUUUGCCUCAGAAGGUCCUUCUUGACGAAUCCUUCAGGGCAGGAACCGGUGAGCCUGAGGCCUCUACCAGGCAAACUGGGAACAGGAAGAGCCGGCUGAAAAGCAAGAACCGCAGAACCGUGGGGUUGCAGUAAUAGAUGAGAGUUUCUGUUUCUCCAGAUCUUUGUCCGCAUUUGGUGUUGUCAGUGCUUGGAUUUUGGCCAUUCCAACAGGUACAUCUUUCAGGGGUCUUAAUUAUAAGAAGUAGACACUGACUUGCGCUGAUUCAGCAGAAGAGGAGUUUAUUGCAAGCCAAUUGGACAGCUUCGUGGGGAGUGGUGCUGGAGGACCCAGCUGAGGCUCAGUUCCAGAAGCAAUGUCCAACUACACUACAGAACUGGUCUGAAGAGGAAACCCCUGAUGCUGUGGCCAACAUGAUUAGGCUACAGUUAUCCCACUGCCAUUCCUGGGCCUCAAACACUCUGUCGUAUCUACUGCCCCACCUUCAAGACAAAGCAAGUCCCCCUUCUCUCUCUUCUUGGUUCCAUACCACCUGAGCCCCUGUCUGGGAGAGGAGGCAGAGCCAGGUACAUGUCUGUGCCCUAGUAGCAAGGGACAAUGGGGAAGGGAAGCAUUUCAUAACAUGAGAAGCUCCCAGAUAUCGGAGAGGUGUUAAAAAGAUGCUGGGCGGCCGCAAAUGUGACAAACAUCCAGUAGGGUAGGGAUCCUGAUCACAUUUACAUAUGUGAUGUCCUUGCAGACUUUAUCAAUUUAUCGGGCAUCCCAUUUCUCAUUUGUCAUUUACAUAGCCUAAAUCCGUUUCCUUUUUUUUUUUUUCCUCCUAAGAUUUUAUUUAUUUAUUUGACACAGAGAGAGAGAGCACAAGUAGGCAGAGCAGGAGGCAGAAGCAGACUCCCUGCUGGGCAGAGAGCCCGAUGCGGGGCUCGAUCCUAGGACCCUGGGAUCAUGACUUGAGCCAAAGGCAGACGCUUAACCCACUAAGCCACCCAGGUACUCCCUGGAUGCGUUUCUUGAUAAAAGAGUUUUUGUUGCUACCCCACCCCCCACCCCCACCGCACUCCUUUUGCUGUUACAAGAGUUCAUGGACCUCCUAAAACAAUGGUCAAGAUCUUUUGAAGGGGCAGAGAUCCUUAAAGAAUCAAACAAAAGCUAUGGAUCUUCUCUUCAGAAACAUACACAUGCAAGUAGUUUGGGGAGGUUCGCGGGUCCCCAGAAGACACUCCUGCCCUCGAAGAGAUCUAUGGCUCAGAAUAAGGCUAAGAACAAGAAACGCAAGGUGCUCUUCCAUUUGCUUUCCAUUUGCCAGAGUUGGACUGUCCUUUGGGAAUCAGUCAGUCCUGGGUUUGAGUCCUACCUGCUGCACUGGCCAGCUUCCCGGUGCUGGGCAAGUUACACAAGCUGAACAAUAGUUUCCUCAUCUGCCAAGGGAAAAUAGUAAUACCAAACUAUCAGGUGGGUAGGAGGCUUCAAGAAGGUGUACCUGCAAAGUGUCUAGCCCACA